GAAAUGCGAUAAGUAAUGUGAAUUGCAGAAUUCAGUGAAUCAUCGAAUCUUUGAACGCAUCUUGCGCUCCUUGGUAUUCCGAGGAGCAUGCCUGUUUGAGUGUCAUUAAAAGUUCUCAACCACUCUGGUUCUUUCCAGUGUGGCUUGGAUUUGAGGGGUUUUGCAGGCUUUUGAACUGAAGUCGGCUCCCUUGAAAAGGAUUAGUGGUGUCUGAGCAGAAGCCAUCAUGGGUGUGAUAAUUAUCUAUGCCUUGGUGGAAUGCCUGACCACAAUAAGUGUUGUGUUUUGACGAAUUUGACCUCAGGUCAGGCGGGGCUACCCGCUGAGUUUAA
rnacentral:misc_RNA from 1 species